CCUACGGGAGGCAGCAGUAGGGAAUCUUCCACAAUGGACGAAAGUCUGAUGGAGCAACGCCGCGUGAGUGAAGAAGGGUUUCGGCUCGUAAAGCUCUGUUGGUAGUGAAGAAAGAUAGAGGUAGUAACUGGCCUUUAUUUGACGGUAAUUACUUAGAAAGUCACGGCUAACUACGUGCCAGCAGCCGCGGUAAUACGUAGGUGGCAAGCGUUGUCCGGAUUUAUUGGGCGUAAGGCGAGUGCAGGCGGUUCAAUAAGUCUGAUGUGAAAGCCUUCGGCUCAACCGGAGAAUUGCAUCAGAAACUGUUGAACUGGAGUGCAGAAGAGGAGAGUGGAACUCCAUGUGUAGCGGUGGAAUGCGUAGAUAUAUGGAAGAACACCAGUGGCGAAGGCGGCUCUCUGGUCUGCAACUGACGCUGAGGCUCGAAAGCAUGGGUAGCGAACAGGAUUAGAUACCCCAGUAGUC
rnacentral:rRNA from 1 species